UGGUGGGCUAGGCUGGGGGGUUCGGCGUCCCCUGUAACCCGAAACCGUCGAUAUGCGGGAGCCGAAGCCGAGGGAAGGUCCGCUAAGCAGGGGGCGAUGGGCUUUAAACUCCGUAGAAUCCCCGUCCCGAAGGGCUGGCGGUUGUAGGCUGGCUGCUCGGAGGGGCUGUCACCUACAUUUACCGGGGGGACUGGCUUAGGCCCGGAAGGGAGCAGGCUUACCCCGGACGACCGGCGCUUUCGGGGGUGCGGGGAGGAGGAGUUUAAAGUUUUCAACCCCCUGUAAGGCGGAUCGACCCGAGGCGUGCCCACCU
rnacentral:SRP_RNA from 1 species